GAUUCCUUCCGCAGUGUACACUUGUAGAAGCCUUUGCAGCCACGCAAGUGGUARAUCUAGGCGACUUUAAAUAAAUUCUAGGAUCGCUAUGCAAGUCGGCCCACGCAUGUGGUGCCGGCGACACUUUCGAAUUGACGGGGAUACCCUAAAGCCUGUCGCACCAACUCUGUGUGGGAAACCGCUAGAGGGCCCGUGCUAACUACACGGGGUGGUAACAGACRACAUGGAUACUUCCACGCCUUUGGUGUGGAUACCAUGGGCAAUCCGCAGCGAAGCCUCUAAGUCCGGCCGCCGGAUAUGAGGAACGUUCACANACUAAGUGGAAGUGGGUGGAGCGUUCGCCGCUCUGCUUAARAUAUAGUCGGGCCCCUUGGGAAACCAAGGGGGUGAGUACACUGCUCGAAAUUCANACUUGAACGUGUCUCGAAUAGCGCUCAUGUUARAAUUUCGAGACUGUCGACUGCCUCGUGGUUUGACAGCUCUUAAAACGUUCCGUAGGUGAACCUGCGGAAGGAUCAUUACAGAAAGUAAACGCGGAUCAAACCGCGAAC
rnacentral:ncRNA from 1 species